rnacentral:rRNA from 1 species
GCUUACGGCCAUACCACGUUGAAUACACCAGUUCUCGUCCGAUCACUGGAGUUAAGCAACGUCGGGCUCGGUUAGUACUUGGAUGGGUGACCGCCUGGGAAUACCGAGUGUCGUAAGCU